rnacentral:rRNA from 1 species
GUAGUCUCGCACAGAUGCAUAUCAAUAAGCGGAGGAAAAGAAACUAACAAGGAUUCCCUUAGGUAACGGCGAGUGAAGCGGGAAGAGCUCAAAUUUGAAAUCUUAAAGGUUUUCCCUUGACGAAUUGUAGUUUAAAGAAGUGUUUUCUGUUGAGGUUUUGGUAAAAGUUCUUUGGAAUAGGACAUCAUAGAGGGUGAGAAUCCCGUAUUUGACCUUUACUUUCAACUUUGUGAUACACUUUCAAAGAGUCGGAUUGUUUGGGAAUGCAGUCCAAAAUGGGUGGUAAAUUUCAUCUAAAGCUAAAUAUUGGCGAGAGACCGAUAGCGAACAAGUACCGUGAGGGAAAGAUGAAAAGAACUUUGAAAAGUGAGUUAAACAGUACGUGAAAUUGUCAAAAGGGAAGCGUUUGACACCAGUGUUGUUUUCAUCGAAAAUCAAUUAAAAAGAGUUAGAUUUUGUUGUGUAUUGACCUUAACAGCUUGCAUUUCAAUUUUCUUGCUUUUUUUAAUGCACUUUUCGUUUAACAAGUCAACAUCAGUUUCUUUUGUUGUAAAAAGGUCAUUGGAAGGUGGCUUUCUUUUCGGAGAAAGUGUUUAUAGCCUUUGACUCCUGCAAUCGGAGAGACUGAGGUCUGCAGCGUAGAUCCUUCGGGGUUAGAUACAUUUGUGCUAAGUUAUAGCAUUUUUAUAGACAACUUGUUGACUAUGAUUAGUCUUGUAGCUUACUCGCUUAUGCUAUUUUACCUACGCUUAGGAUGUUGAUGUGAUACUGCGAGC